rnacentral:rRNA from 1 species
AGAGUUUGAUCAUGGCUCAGGACGAACGCUGGCGGCGUGCCUAAUACAUGCAAGUCGAGCGGGGUUGUCGGAGUGGAGUCCUUCGGGAUGAGGCACCGCCAACCUAGCGGCGGACGGGUGAGUAACGCGUGGGUAACCUGCCCUAAAGCCCGGGAUAACACCGGGAAACUGGUGCUAACACCGGAUACCUUCCGAAGAGGGCAUCCUUUUUGGAAGAAAGGUUAACGCUUUAGGAUGGGCCCGCGUCCCAUUAGCUAGUUGGUGAGGUAACGGCUCACCAAGGCAGUGAUGGGUAGCCGGCCUGAGAGGGUGGACGGCCGCACUGGGACUGAGACACGGCCCAGACUCCUACGGGAGGCAGCAGUAGGGAAUCUUGCGCAAUGGGCGAAAGCCUGACGCAGCGACGCCGCGUGAGGGAAGAAGGCCUUCGGGUCGUAAACCUCUGUCCUUGGGGACGAUGAUGACGGUACCCAAGGAGGAAGCCCCGGCUAACUACGUGCCAGCAGCCGCGGUAAUACGUAGGGGGCGAGCGUUGUCCGGAAUCACUGGGCGUAAAGGGUGCGUAGGCGGCUUGGCAAGUCCUGUGUGAAAGGUCGCGGCUCAACCGCGGUGGGUCAUGGGAAACUGCCAAGCUCGAGUGCCGGAGAGGAUAGCGGAAUUCCCGGUGUAGCGGUGAAAUGCGUAGAGAUCGGGAGGAACACCAGUGGCGAAGGCGGCUAUCUGGAAGGUCACUGACGCUGAGGCACGACAGCUGGGGGAGCAAACAGGAUUAGAUACCCUGGUAGUCCCAGCCGUAAACGAUGAGUGCUAGGUGUUGCGGGUAUCGACCCCUGCAGUGCCGAAGUCAACACAAUAAGCACUCCGCCUGGGGAGUACGGCCGCAAGGCUGAAACUUAAAUGAAUUGACGG